AUAUGUGUCAGAUGUAAAAGGCUAAGGCUUAACCAUAGUUAGCAUUUGAAACUGUAUUACUUGAGUGCAGGAGAGGUAAGUGGAAUUCCUAGUGUAGCGGUGAAAUGCGUAGAUAUUAGGAGGAACACCAGUGGCGAAGGCGACUUACUGGACUGUAACUGACGCUGAGUCACGAAAGCGUGGGUAGCAAACAGGAUUAGAUACCCUGGUAGUCCACGCUGUAAACGAUGAGUGCUAGGUGUUGGGUAGCGAUAUUCAGUGCCGAAGUUAACACAAUAAGCACUCCGCCUGGGGAGUACGGUCGCAAGACUGAAACUCAAAGGAAUUGACGGGGACCCGCACAAGCAGCGGAGCAUGUGGUUUAAUUCGAAGCAACGCGAAGAACCUUACCAAGGCUUGACAUCCCCUUGACCAGUGCAGAGAUGUACUCUCUCCUUCGGGAGCAAGGGAGACAGGUGGUGCAUGGUUGUCGUCAGCUCGUGUCGUGAGAUGUUGGGUUAAGUCCCGCAACGAGCGCAACCCGUUAUCAUUACGUUGCCAGCAUUUAAGGUGGGCACUCUAAUGAGACUGCCGAUGAUAAACUCGGAGGUAAGGUGGGGAUGACGUCAAAUCAUCAUGCCCCUUAUGUCUUGGGCUACACCAGUGCUACAUGGUCGGUACAAGGGUAAGCGAAGGUAGUGAUUCGGAGCAAACUCCGUAAUAAACCGGUAUACUCAGUUCGGAUUGUAGGCUGCAACUCGCUAC
rnacentral:rRNA from 1 species